GCAAAAUCACCUUUUACUUACAUGUGGCUU
rnacentral:piRNA from 1 species